UUCUUCUCUCUAUAAUGAGUGUGUCACGACAGGUUUUCUUCUCUUCUCUCUAUAAUGAGUGUGUCACGACAGGUUUUCUUCUCUUCUCUCUAUAAUGAGUGUGUCACGACAGGUUUUCUUCUCUUCUCUCUAUAAUGAGUGUGUCACGACAGGUUUUCUUCUCUCUAUAAUGAGUGUGUUAUGACAGGUUUUCUUCUCUCUAUAAUGAGUGUGUUAUGACAGGUUUUCUUCUCUCUAUAAUGAGUGUGUCACGACCGGUUUUCUUCUCUCUAUAAUGAGUGUGUUAUGACAGGUUUUCUUCUCUCUAUAAUGAGUGUGUUA